UCCCCGGUAGCUCAGUCGGUAGAGCGGUCGGCUGUUAACCGAUUGGUCGCUGGUUCGAAUCCGGCCCGGGGAGC
rnacentral:tRNA from 1 species